rnacentral:rRNA from 1 species
GACUCUCGGCAAUGGAUAUCUCGGCUCUCGCAUCGAUGAAGAACGUAGCGAAAUGUGAUACUUGGUGUGAAUUGCAGAAUCCCGUGAACCAUCGACUCUUUGAAUGCAAGUUGCACCCCAAGCCUUCUAGGCGAGGGCACGUCUGCUUGGGUGUCA